AUGGGAACAAUCGGGGGCUCAGCGAUUGUGCUGGUUCUUGUUUUGAGCGCUCCAGGCAGAGCCAAGAUCCAGCAGCCGGUCUCGGCGGAAGCUUUGGAGGGAGCCGAACUGAACCUCACCUGCUCUCACCCCUCAGCCAGCGCUGAUAAUAUACUCUGGUACCGGCAGUUUUCGAACCGAGGACCCGAAUUUAUAGUGACUGGAUUCAGUGGAACCGCUCACAGCCCCGACCCAGAGGGAACCUUGCAUAUCUCCAAGAAUAAAGAAAACAGCAUCUUCGCCCUGCGCAGGGUGCGGCUCGCAGACGCAGCGGUUUAUUACUGUGCUCGGAGAGACACAGUUUGA